UUUUUUUGUUUUGUUUUGUUUUAUUGUACAUAGAUGAUGCAUUCAUCAAAUGCUUAGAGUGGUACUGGGUACUUUGUCCCUCUGCUUAGUCUUCAUAACAACUCUGGGGGUAGGAAUUCUUGUCUCAUAUACCAGAAAAAAGAAAAUCAGAUGCAGAGAGGUGAAAAGAAUUGCCAUUGCCAAAAUUAACUGAGUUGUAAGUGGAGAGUGUGGGAUUCAGAAUGUGGUCUAGCUUCUUCUUGAACCUGUGGGGUGAUUCUGUAUUCCUCCUUUUUGGGUAAGGGAUGGUGGGUGUGCAUAGCAGGGAGCUGAGGCUGUACCUGGACUUUCUCAACUUGAUCAGUAAGAACAGGGAGUAGGCUGAAAGAGAAAAGGGCUUGCCCACUUGUGCACCUCUGCCGUCUCUGCCUUGAAAACAAUGUGAAUAGCAGCCUUAUAAAGUUUCUGCCAAGAGGCAAAGACCGUGUCAUGCUGAAUGACAGAAUUAGGAUCAUGACGGUCUCAAGGGAGAAUUAGGGGUUGAAUAUAGUGCAGUGAUAUUUAAUCAAUUUAGUAAAUGUACGAUUUGGCCCUGUAAGUGAAAAUAUUAACUGACAAAAUGUAGGUGCAGGAAAAUCCUGGCUUAGCUGGAUGGAUGUUUCCUGAGUACCUGUUCUUUGCCUGACUUUAGGGUUAUAGCAGUAAACAAAUUAGGCACAGGCCUUGUCUCAGGAGGCUAAUAUUUGUGUGGGCAGAGACAAGCAACUAAGUAAACCAAAAUAGACAGUAAGUCGCUGGUGUUGAUGCGUGCUGGGAUGGGAUGGGGACAGGAAUGUCAGGUGAAGGGAGGGUAGCGAACAGAAGAGGACCAUUUCCUCAGUCUUGGGGAGUCUGUAAUCGUGGAGUUCUUUGCAUGUGGGUGGCUUCCAAAACCAGGUCUUCAAAAGAGGGGCUAGAGUGCCCCGAAGUUUGUCUGCUAGUUAAGGAGGGCUGUUCAUCCUUUCACUUAACACGUACUUAACUGUGCACUACGUGGCAGGUGCCCUUUCUGAGCACUUGGGACAGACACUCUUUUAGACAGCAUGGGCAGGCAGAGCUCUCAGGGGACAUGUUUGAGCAGAGACCUGAAUGAGGAGAUGGAACAAACAUGAGGGUGUGUGGACAAUGAUAUCUUGGCAGCAAGUGCAAAGGCUUUGGGGCAUGAAUGGAGUUAGGAGUGUUCUGGGUCCAGGACAAAGCCUUUGUCAUGGAGGUGAAGUGAGUGAGACAAAGAAAGUUGGGGUCUGCCUCUGGGGAGCAGGCAUGGUGGGUCCUGUGAGGCCAGUGGGCAUGGGAGGAACUUUGGAAUUUUUGAUAAGAAGGACAGUGUUAUGACCUUGCAGCUUUCAAAGACACGCUCUGCUGCUAUGGGGAGCACGUGCUCUAGGGGCAAGGAGACCCACUGUGAGGAGAGAGUGGAGGGAGGGCCUCGGAACUGGCAGUGGACUAACAGCAGGAUCCUAACGUCCCAUCCCAUGUCUCACGGGGUCCGGGCGAGGCCUCCCUGGCACACAAGCUGCUGGAUUAGACUCCAUGAUGCUCCUGGGGCUAAAUAUCACUUCAAGAACAACUUCUUUGGUCAAGAGAGAUUUCAGGCUUUUGGCCUUAGUGAUGUGUUGAUCUCAGCCCAUGUAUUUCUGAUUAUUUAUAGCACUGCUCACCUCAUGCUUAGUUUUGCAAUUAGACAUACUCAGAGCAGGCUUUUCUCCUGAUGUUCACGUCUGUGUGUUUUCUGCUUAGUUGCCGUUCCUUCUGUUCUCCCACUAGUAUCGCAGGGCUCCCCACCCCCUGAGCUCAGAAUGAAGAUGUCUGAUGACAGAUUGCUAAUCCAUACCUCAGAGUGUCCAGGAGUCCCCACAGGGCGUUCCACAUGGGCCCCACAUGCUGUCUCUUGCUGCUCUGCCAGAAGGCAGACAUCCUUACAACAUCCUUAUUUCAUACUGAGAUCCUCUUUUCUUCUGCUGGAAAACAGAGCUCUGUCCUGGAGGCUGCCUCUGUCCCGAGUGAAAGGCAAGAACUUCCUCUUCUUUGCACAGCUCCCAAGUCCCCACUGGCCCAUCGACCGUUCUGCAGCCUCAGAAGUGUGAAGACCACCCUUCCCUCGGACCCUAUACCAUAUCCCUCUAUGUCUGCCUGUGUCCUAUCUCUUAGGCAGGGACACUGCUGAUGGCUGAGUCCCAGGAGGAGGUGGGCAUCAUGCCUUUCUCAGCUGCCUGACUCUCCACUGGGUGUGCCCAUCCUUCAUUCAGGAGACCAACAGUCCUCCUGUGUAUCAGUUCAUAAGAAAUAAUGCCUGGGGACCCAGGGCUGCUCUGCCCCUCUGUCCAGUCUUCACUUAGCUUCAUCCGAAACCCCCCAGCUCGGUGUCUCUCUUUGGAGUCAUUCAUUUGGAGUUAAACUCCGACCAUUCAGUAUUAUUGAUUAUGUUUUCAUAGGUCCCUAACUAGACUACAAACACCUAAAGGGCAGGAUCUGUGUCUUAUCCAUCUUAGUAUCCCCCAGAGAGUUUCGCAUGGUGACUUAUUUAUGGUGCAUGUUCCGUAAGUAUAUGCUGAUUGACUGGCUGCUAUGCCAGCCUCAGGAGCCGAAGGGCUUCUGGGAGGGUCUGUGCAGGGACCAAGUAUUUGUCUCCCUGCCUAUUCAGUUGUAACAAUAGAUCAAGGCAAGACUUCAAUUAUCCUUCCCUUUCAUUCCAGACUCUCUUCUCUGUUCAUUCUAUUGAAAACGCCUGGUGACAGAGAGCGAGAUGCUGAGAGACAGAAUGCUUUCAGAGCCUUAGGAAAACCGUGUGGCAGGAAGGACAUAUUUCAAUGUAGUUAUUUUCCACCAAGGCUAAUAUUGUGUUUCAAUACUUCAGGCACUACUGAGCUCAUCAACAAUGUUUGCCUUUAAUUUUACCAUUUGUACCCAGUCAUAUGUCAUUCGCUAUGUUUCUUUCCAGCUCCAUUUUAUCAAAGGGAUCUUCGGGCUUUCAUUGUCUUUGAAAAGUUGCUUAAAAUGGACAAGCAUAGAUAUCCAUCAUGUUUAACUAUCUCCUUCGUUACAUUCUUUAAUCGUUUGUUAAAUGAUAAAUCGUAAAUGGAAUUUUUGUGAUUGAGUGGAGGAAGAAAAUGGCACAUUGGGUUAAGGUGUGGGGAACAUUUUUUACGUGAUUUCCCCUGGGAGGACUCUUGGCCUUCCCCACAGGAGCAUCUGGCCAAGGCCUGGGAGCCCAUUGCUUGCAGGAAAGGAGAUCCUGUGUCCUCUCAGAAAGAAUUCUAUUUCUGUCGAGCUUUGUGAGACGUUCUUCACGAUGGGAUGCAUACUAGAAUCACCGGGGGAUGGACUUUGGCAAACAUCCCUCUCCCACCCCACUCUGCUCCAGGCCAAUUAAAUCAAAACCUCUUGGUUUGGGGAACUGGCAUUGUUACAGUUAUUAUUAUUACUAUUAUUAAAGUCUAGUUGAUUUACAAUAUUUCAUCAAGUUCUGUUGUACAACAAAGUGACCCAAUCACACACAGUUCCCUGUGCUGUACAGUAGGAUCCCACUGCCCAUCCAUUCCAAAUACAACAGUUUGCAUCCCCCAAACCUCCAAAAUGCUCAUCCAUCCAUCCAACUCCCACCCCUUUCCCCCCUGGGAACCACAAGUCUGCUUUUCUUGGCCAUGAUCUGUUUCUGUCUUUUGUUUGUUUGUUAUUUUUAGGAUCAUCUGUUCCAUAUUUUAGAUUCUACAAAUAAGUGAUAUCAUAUGGUAUUUAUCUUUUUCUUUCUGGCUUACUUCACUUAUAUGAGAGUCUCUAGAUCCAUUCAUGUUGCUGCAAAUUGCAUUAGUUUGUCUUUUUUAUGCCUGAGUAAUACUCCAUUGUAUAUAUGUGCCACAUCUUCUUAAUCCAUUCAUCUGUUGAUGGACAUUUAGAUUAUUUCCAUGUCUUGGAUAUUGUGAAUAGUGCUGCUAUGAACAUAGGGGUGCUUGCAUGUGUCUUUUUCAAGAAAAGUUUUGUCUGGAUAUAUGCCCAGCAGUGGGAUUGCUGGAUCAUAUAGUGGCUCUAUAUUUAGUUUUCCGAGGUACCUCCAUACUGUUUUCCAUAGUGGUUGUACCAAUUUUUAUUCCCACCAACAGUGGAGGAGGAUACCUUUUUCUCCACACCCUCCCAGCAUUUGUUAUUUGACUUAUUAAUGAAGGCCAUUCUCAGUGGUAUGAAGUGAUAGCUCCUUGUAGUUUUGAUUUGCAUUUCUCUAAUAAUUAGUGAUAUUGAGCAUUUUUUCAUAUGCUUGUUGGCCAUCCAUAUGUCUUCUUUGGAGAAAUGUCUAUUUAGGUCUUUUGUCCAUUUUUCAAUUGAGUUGUUUGUUUUUUUGUUAUAGAGUUGCAUGAGUUGUAUAUAUAUUUUGGAAAUUAAGCCCUUGUCUAUUACAUCAUUGGCAAAGAUUUUUCUCCCAUUCUGUGGGUUGUCUUUUCGUUUUGUUAAUGGUUUCCUAUGCUGUGCAAGCUUUUGAGUUUGAUUAGGUCCCACUGGUUUUUAUGUAUCUUUAUUGUCAUUAUUCUAGGAGGUGGAUCAAACAAAAUGUUGCUGUGAUUUAUGUCAAAGAGCCUUCUGCCUAUGUUUUCCUCUAGGAGUUUUGUAGUGUUUGGCCUUAUAUUUAGGUCUUUAAUCCAUUUUGAGUUUAUUUUUGUAUAUGGGGUUAGAUAGUGUUCUGCUUUCAUUCUUUUACAUGUAGCUUUCCAGUUUUCCCGGCACCAUUUAUUGAAGAGGCUGUCUUUCUUCCACUGUGUGUUGUGUCCUCCUUGGUCAUAGAUUAGUUGCCCAUAGGUACUUAGGUUUAUAUCUGAGCUUUCUAUACUGUUCCAUUGGUCUAUUUUUAGGGCCAUACCCACGGCAUAUGGAGGUUCCCAGGCUAGGGGUCGAACUGGAGUUGUAGCUGCUAGCCUGCAUCCCAGCCACAGCAACUUGGGAUCUGAGCCAUAUCUGUGACCUAUACUGCAGCUGACGGCAACGCUGGAUCCUUAACCUACUGAUCGACGCCAAAGAUUGAACCUGCGUCGUCAUGGAUGCUAGUCAGAUUUGUUUUUUCUGAGCCAUGACACCACGAUAGGAACUCCUCUGAUACAGUUUUAAAAGCUCUCCAGGUGAGUCUGAUGUGCAGCCAGAGGGGAAAGAUACUGACCUAGACCAGUGGUUUUGGGGCAGUUUUGUCCCUAGUAGACAUUGGCAAUAUGUGGAAUAUUUUUAACUAACAUUUUGAUCAUUGCUAGGCUGCUGUUGGUGUCUAGUCAGUUGAGGCUAGGCAUGCUGCUAAAUAUCCUACAAUGCACAGGACAAACCCCCACAUAAAGAGCAAACCCAUGAAAUUGUCAACAGUACUGAGUUUGAAAAACCCUUCCCUAGAGUAUUAGAAAGGCAAACACACACACAUAUACACACAUGCAUGUAUACACACAUGUACAGUUAUUUGAGUGCAGAGAUUUUUGUGGUUCUGUUACCUCUUGAUUGUAAAUACACUGUGGUUCCCAAAUCAGUUUUAAACACCUGACCGGAUUUGAUCUUCACCAUGACCCUAUAAAGGAAAUAUUAUCACCAUCUUAAUUUUACAGAUCAGGAAACUGAGGCUGACCACAGUGAAUGACUCCCUAAGACCACGCCACCUUCAGGUGCUGACUUAAGACUCUUUCACUAACUGAAAUGCCUAGUGUUUACACAGACGUCUUCCUUGCCCCAUGCCCUGCUCAAGGCAAACAUUGUAACGAAGCAGUCCUCAUUCCUGCUGAGCUCAAGUGCAGCCUCAGAAUCCUUCUCAACACAGCACUCCAGGCAGUCCCAAUUGAUUGGGGUUGGUACACGAGAGGAAACUCGUUUGUCACAUAGCCUCUCCAGACGAAGCGCCAUACCUCUCCCCAAAGGAAGCCUAUCUUGAAAGAGACACGAAGGAGAGUACUUGAGAGUAGGAGGGUCCUUGAAUGUUUGCAGGUGUUCAAACAAUCUGUUUGGGAAAUUGCAGUGUUAGCAGCUUGCUCUCCUGCCUGAGCCCAUGAGGAAGUGACAGUCUCUACCCUUAUAUUUCUUUAUAACUUUAUUAGUGCAUUUCACUCUCACCAUAUGCUGCUAAUUGAUACACAAAGGAAGUGCACAUAGUUGUAGUCUUCACUUGGUAUAUGCGAAACAUUUUGCCUUCUUGAGCUUGCUACAAAAACCUAUUGAACUGCGAUUUGUGAGGUGGGCAGGGCAGGAGUUGGUGUGUGCUCAGUUUACAGAGUGAAGAAGCUGGAGCCAGAGCCCCUACCCAUGCCCUGGGCUCAGUGAACUGUGACAUGCACAAUUAAAUGCCCAGUGCCUGUAAGGAGGGAUGCAAACAGAGGUAGAAAAGCAGGCACAAUUAGAGAGUUCCAUCUCCUUGGUAGGCAGGUGAUGGGGAGGAUGUAGGCAGCUCAGAGGACCAUUUGGCAGCUUACUGGGAGAAAGGACAAAACAGGGUACUAAUCAGCUGCUCAUUGGGGAGUGUGCCACCACAAGUUUCAGAAAGUUUUAUGAGUCUUCACAAUCAGCCGGACUUCAGGCCUCUGGCUUGCCUGUGCCACCCACAGGUAUCCAUGGAAUCAGUCUCCAGCAUCUGACACAAGAGCUCAUCUUAUAAUUCAGGUGAAAAGGUGGGCUUGACCCAACUGGUCUCAUUUUGUUUCUUUGGCUCUCACCAUGGGGUUGUGUGGCAGGUAGGCCCCAAAGCUUCCAGUGUGAGGCUGCACAGAUGCUCUGUUGCUGUGGCUUCUAUCAUAUGGGGGGAGGAGGGGCCAGGGGACCCUCUCCGGUUGAGUAUGUAGCCACACUGCACUGGCACUGUUUGGAUGGAUCUCAGUAACAAGGCACUUUCACCAGGAAUGUGGCAACAGGCUUUCCUUGAAUGGC
rnacentral:lncRNA from 1 species